AACCUUUUACAAUAGCUUGAGUCCUAAAUGUGUACUACAACUUCACCCAUUUGACCUAGGCCCAAAUCUCAGCAAAACCAUUUCAAAAUUUGAUCCGAAGUCAGCUAAACUGCUAAAAAUCAGCCCAAGACGAAAAUCAGCCAAGUCUGCAAAACCAGCAUUCCCAAGAACUUUGGCAUCAAAUAACUUUCAAUUCAGCAUGAAUUUGUACCUAAAGUAUUUCUAUAAUUUGUAGAGUAUAGUUUAAACUACAAGUUUUCUAUUUGGAGUUGGCAAUGUUUGAAUUGAAAAAUUGGCACAAAAUUCACCCAAAUCCAG
rnacentral:lncRNA from 1 species